rnacentral:lncRNA from 1 species
UUUUAUUGUACUUUGCGAGACGAAUCUUUUGAGUCUAAUUAGUCAAUGUUUGGACAAUAAUUCACAAAUACAAACGAAAUGCUAUAGUUGCGCAUUUAUGGUAAAAUGUCAAUUUUGCCACUUCCAAAUUGGGAACUAAACAAGGUCUGAAAGUCUAACAAGAGGAGUGAACGAAAGUCUGAAGUCUCCCUAUCAUCGUCCACUUGCAUAGCCUUUACUGACUUGAGGGGAAAACGGCACCAG